ACAACAGCUUGUUUACCUUUCGCUUUGGCGAGAGCCUCAGCAUUGUUGUCUCUCAAAGGCUGCGGUGCGAACAGACGACCACUCCUAGUAAAACCUCCAGGUCCCCCUACAUUAUCCACAACAGGACCAACAGUCACUGGAGCUCUACCUGGCAAACCAAUGGUCACUGGAACCUGACUCACAGGUCUGAUCUGACUUUCUGCCCUUCUGUUAUUGCGAUAAGCAUUAUCAUACUUC
rnacentral:lncRNA from 1 species